AGACGUAGGGGGCGAGCGUUGUCCGGAAUUACUGGGCGUAAAGAGCACGUAGGCGGGGAUUUAAGUCAGAUGUGAAAGACCGGGGCUCAACUCCGGGGUGGCAUUUGAAACUAAAUUUCUUGAGGGCAGGAGAGGGCAGUAGAAUUCCUGGUGUAGCGGUGAAAUGCGUAGAAAUCAGGAGGAAUACCGGUGGCGAAGGCGACUGUCUGGACUGACCCUGACGCUGAGGUGCGAAAGCGUGGGUAGCAAACAGGAUUAGAUACCCUGGUAGUCCACGCUGUAAACGAUGGAUACUAGGUGUAGGAGGUAUCGACCCCUUCUGUGCCGCAGCAAACGCAAUAAGUAUCCCGCCUGGGGAGUACGGUCGCAAGGCUGAA
rnacentral:rRNA from 1 species